rnacentral:rRNA from 1 species
CCUACGAGAGGCAGCAGUGAGGAAUAUUUGUCAAUGGGCGAGAGCCUGAACCAGCCAAGUCGCGUGAAGGAUGAAUGAUCUAUGGUUUGUAAACUUCUUUUAUAUGGGAAUAAAGUGAGGAACGUGUUCCUUUUUGUAUGUACCAUAUGAAUAAGCAUCGGCUAACUCCGUGCCAGCAGCCGCGGUAAUACGGAGGAUGUGAGCUUUCUCCGGAUUUAUUGGGUUUAAAGGGUGCGUAGGUGGUUAAUUAAGUCAGCGGUGAAAGUUUGUGGCUCAACCAUAAAAUUGCCGUUGAAACUGGUUGACGUUAGUAUAUUUGAGGUAGGCGGAAUGCGUGGUGUAGCGGUGAAAUGCAUAGAUAUCACGCAGAACUCCGAUUGCGAAGGCAGCUUACUAAACUAUAACUGACACUGAAGCACGAAAGCGUGGGGAUCAAACAGGAUUAGAUACCCUGGUAGUC